rnacentral:rRNA from 1 species
AAGACUGGGAUAACUUCGGGAAACCGGAGCUAAUACCGGAUAAUAUUUUGAACCGCAUGGUUCAAAAGUGAAAGACGGUCUUGCUGUCACUUAUAGAUGGAUCCGCGCUGCAUUAGCUAGUUGGUAAGGUAACGGCUUACCAAGGCAACGAUGCAUAGCCGACCUGAGAGGGUGAUCGGCCACACUGGAACUGAGACACGGUCCAGACUCCUACGGGAGGCAGCAGUAGGGAAUCUUCCGCAAUGGGCGAAAGCCUGACGGAGCAACGCCGCGUGAGUGAUGAAGGUCUUCGGAUCGUAAAACUCUGUUAUUAGGGAAGAACAUAUGUGUAAGUAACUGUGCACAUCUUGACGGUACCUAAUCAGAAAGCCACGGCUAACUACGUGCCAGCAGCCGCGGUAAUACGUAGGUGGCAAGUGUUAUCCGGAAUUAUUGGGCGUAAAGCGCGCGUAGGCGGUUUUUUAAGUCUGAUGUGAAAGCCCACGGCUCAACCGUGGAGGGUCAUUGGAAACUGGAAAACUUGAGUGCAGAAGAGGAAAGUGGAAUUCCAUGUGUAGCGGUGAAAUGCGCAGAGAUAUGGAGGAACACCAGUGGCGAAGGCGACUUUCUGGUCUGUAACUGACGCUGAUGUGCGAAAGCGUGGGGAUCAAACAGGAUUAGAUACCCUGGUAGUCCACGCCGUAAACGAUGAGUGCUAAGUGUUAGGGGGUUUCCGCCCCUUAGUGCUGCAGCUAACGCAUUAAGCACUCCGCCUGGGGAGUACGACCGCAAGGUUGAAACUCAAAGGAAUUGACGGGGACCCGCACAAGCGGUGGAGCAUGUGGUUUAAUUCGAAGCAACGCGAAGAACCUUACCAAAUCUUGACAUCCUUUGACAACUCUAGAGAUAGAGCCUUCCCCUUCGGGGGACAAAGUGACAGGUGGUGCAUGGUUGUCGUCAGCUCGUGUCGUGAGAUGUUGGGUUAAGUCCCGCAACGAGCGCAACCCUUAAGCUUAGUUGCCAUCAUUAAGUUGGGCACUCUAAGUUGACUGCCGGUGACAAACCGGAGGAAGGUGGGGAUGACGUCAAAUCAUCAUGCCCCUUAUGAUUUGGGCUACACACGUGCUACAAUGGACAAUACAAAGGGCAGCGAAACCGCGAGGUCAAGCAAAUCCCAUAAAGUUGUUCUCAGUUCGGAUUGUAGUCUGCAACUCGACUACAUGAAGCUGGAAUCGCUAGUAAUCGUAGAUCAGCAUGCUACGGUGAAUACGUUCCCGGGUCUUGUACACACCGCCCGUCACACCACGAGAGUUUGUAACACCCGAAGCCGGUGGAGUAACCUUUUAGGAGCUAGCCGUCGAAGGUGGGACAAAUGAUUGGGGUGAAGUCGUAACAAGGUAGCCGUAUCGGAAGGUGCGGCUGGAUCACCUCCUUUCUAAGGA